GACCCAUUAGCUCAGCAGGUAGAGCACUUGACUUUUAAUCAAGGUGUCCCGCGUUCGAGCCGCGGAUGGGUCACCA
rnacentral:tRNA from 4 species